AGUCGUAACAAGGUCUCCGUAGGUGAACCUGCGGAGGGAUCAUUACACAAAUAUGAAGGCGGGCUGGAACCUCUCGGGGUUACAGCCUUGCUGAAUUAUUCACCCUUGUCUUUUGCGUACUUCUUGUUUCCUUGGUGGGUUCGCCCACCACUAGGACAAACAUAAACCUUUUGUAAUUGCAAUCAGCGUCAGUAACAAAUUAAUAAUUACAACUUUCAACAACGGAUCUCUUGGUUCUGGCAUCGAUGAAGAACGCAGCGAAAUGCGAUAAGUAGUGUGAAUUGCAGAAUUCAGUGAAUCAUCGAAUCUUUGAACGCACAUUGCGCCCUUUGGUAUUCCAAAGGGCAUGCCUGUUCGAGCGUCAUUUGUACCCUCAAGCUUUGCUUGGUGUUGGGCGUCUUGUCUCUAGCUUUGCUGGAGACUCGCCUUAAAGUAAUUGGCAGCCGGCCUACUGGUUUCGGAGCGCAGCACAAGUCGCACUCUCUAUCAGCAAAGGUCUAGCAUCCAUUAAGCCUUUUUUUUCAACUUUUGACCUCGGAUCAGGUAGGGAUACCCGCUGAACUUAAGCAUAUCAAUAGUAAAAGUCG
rnacentral:rRNA from 1 species